rnacentral:rRNA from 1 species
UACGUAGGGGGCUAGCGUUGUCCGGAAUCAUUGGGCGUAAAGAGCGCGUAGGCGGUCCGGUAAGUCGGUUGUGAAAACUGGGGGCUCAACCCUCAGACGCCGACCGAUACUGUCGGGCUAGAGUCCGGAAGAGGCGAGUGGAAUUCCUGGUGUAGCGGUGAAAUGCGCAGAUAUCAGGAGGAACACCAAUGGCGAAGGCAGCUCGCUGGGACGGUACUGACGCUGAGGCGCGAAAGCGUGGGGAGCAAACAGG